AAGACCUUGCACUUUUGGAGCGGCCGAUGUCUGAUUAGCUAGUUGGUGGGGUAAAGGCCUACCAAGGCAUCGAUCAGUAGCUGGUCUGAGAGGACGACCAGCCACACUGGGACUGAGACACGGCCCAGACUCCUACGGGAGGCAGCAGUGGGGAAUUUUGGACAAUGGGCGCAAGCCUGAUCCAGCCAUGCCGCGUGAGUGAAGAAGGCCUUCGGGUUGUAAAGCUCUUUCAGUCGGGAAGAAAAGGUUGCGACUAAUAAUCGUGAUCAAUGACGGUACCGAAAGAAGAAGUACCGGCUAACUACGUGCCAGCAGCCGCGGUAAUACGUAGGGUGCGAGCGUUAAUCGGAAUUACUGGGCGUAAAGGGUGCGCAGGCGGUUUUGUAAGUCAGAUGUGAAAUCCCCGGGCUUAACCUGGGAACU
rnacentral:rRNA from 1 species